rnacentral:misc_RNA from 1 species
AACGCACAUUGCGCCCUCUGGUAUUCCGGGGGGCAUGCCUGUUCGAGCGUCAUUAUAACCAAUCACGCAAGUGGUCUUGGGGCUUGCCAGUCGGCAUCCCUUAAAAACAGUGGCAGUGCUAUAGGCUCUCAGCGCAGUAAUUAUUUCGCUUUUGAGUCCUAGACCCACCCGCCAAAACCCCAAUUUUCUUUUAAGGUUGACCUCGGAUCAGGUAGGGAUACCCGCUGAACUUAA